AGCAGGUUUAUUCUGAGUCCUCUCUCCUGAGGGAAAGGACCACUGAUUUCCUCCACCUAUAUUUUUACCCCAUGCCCUCAGGAGACCCAGGUCAUGGAUGGUUUUCUAUUUUGCCCGAGACUCUCUGAGAAGAGGAGGGAAACAGAAACUUGGGAAGAGAUGGAGAAGACAGGGAGAGAAGGGACUUGGGCAAUGAUGAAAAUUGGAAGAAGAAGAAGAAGAAGGAGAAGGAGAAGAAGGAGAGAAAGGAAAGUGGAAAAAACACUCAAACGCUCAAACAUAGAUAUGUAACUUGUCAGAUGUCAUCCCGCUUGUAAUUAAAGAUGCUGGGAUUUGAACUUAGUCAGUCUGACCCCACAGAUCAGAUACUUUCUCCCAGGAUGCAUUUCCACUAUGAUAUUCAGUACAAAGUGGUUGUUCAAUAAAUAUUGUUCAAAUGUUAGUUGGGGAAAACAAAAGAGAAGCUGCUGAGGAAGAACUGGCCUCUCCAAAGCAGGGUGUGUGAAGUGGACCAUGGCUCCAGCCCCUUCCCUAACAGCUGGGUGUGUAGUCACAGGGGGAUCUGGCAGGAAGACUGAAGAUUCCCCCAUGGUCAUUCCCUGCCUGAUUUGCCCCAUGGGGCUCUGAGAGUCAGAACUAGGAACAGCUGCUGGCUUCCCAGGUUCAGAACCAUCAUCAUCAAGUAUUUAUUAAGCCCCCACUGUGUGCAGAGGGGGUUCCAAAGGAUGGGACCAGAGCUGAAUUCAUUUUCAUUUCUAACCACAGCAGCCUUAGGAAUCAGAAAGGAAGUCACCAUGAGGGAAUUCCCCAGAACACCUGGGGUUUUAAAAGGCAGGCCUCUUCCUCUCUGGCUCUUGAUUCCCCAUCACCCUUUGGCCUCUGUCCAGCUCCCUCCCUCGAUGGGAAGAGGAAAGGGUAGGAGAUCCAUGCACACAUACACAGACACACAUCCAGAAAACAUGUAAGCAGGUGGACAUAUGUGCACAUGUGUACAUGGUUGUGUGCACACACUAGCCCAUGCAUGCACACAUGCACACAUAUACACAUAGGAAGCUCCUAAAACAGCAUUCCUGACUGGUAAGCAGCAAGUGUCCAGAUCAGGGAGGGACAGAGCCCCCCCAAAAUGAGCCCAGAGUCCCCUCUGUAUAUCAGUUCUCACCUCUCCAAUCCCCCAUUAACCCUGAUGAUUGAGAGCUAAAUAUUACUUGUAAUACAAGCCACGACCCCAGAUACGUGACAAUUACUCUUGCACAAUAAUCUUGAUUCUGGCCAGGCAUGGUGGCUCAUGCCUAUAAUCCCAGCACUUUGGGAGCCCAAGGCAGGAGGGUUGAUUGAAGUCAGGAGUUCGAGACCAGCCUGGACAACAUAGCAAGACCCAGACUCUACAAAAUUUUUUAAAUUAGCUGGACAUGGUGGCGAGUGCCUGUAGUCCAGCUACCCAGGAGGCUGAGGGAGGAGGACUGCUUGAGCCCAAGAGUUUGAGGCUGCAGUGAGCUGUGAUAGCGCCACUGCACUUCAACCUGGGCGACAGAGUGUUACCCUGUCUCUAAAUAUAUAUAUAUAUAAAAUAAUAAUCUUGAUAUCAAUGACAUAAUCAUUUCCCCUACCCCUGCCAACACACACACACACACACACACACACACACACACACACACACACACACACACUAGAAGUCACAGUACCAGGCCUCAGAUGCAAGCCUGGGGUCUCAUGUGUUUUCCCAUGACCAAGCCCUCUAGAACCCACCCCCAACCCCUUCAGCAUCCUCUGCCUUCCCUGCCCUUCCCUUCUGUAUUCUUGAUUUCCCUCCCUCUCCUCCAUCCGCAGACAGAGCCACCUGCUUGGUUCAAGGCUCCAGAUCGCAUACUUAGGUUUAAUGAUCCUCUAAUAAAUUAUCAUGAAUAUGUUG
rnacentral:lncRNA from 10 species